rnacentral:rRNA from 1 species
GUGGGGAAUCUUAGACAAUGGGCGCAAGCCUGAUCUAGCCAUGCCGCGUGGACGAUGAAGGCCUUAGGGUUGUAAAGUCCUUUCGCUGGGGAAGAUAAUGACGGUACCCAGUAAAGAAGCCCCGGCUAACUCCGUGCCAGCAGCCGCGGUAAUACGGAGGGGGCUAGCGUUGUUCGGAAUUACUGGGCGUAAAGCGCGCGUAGGCGGAUCGGAAAGUUGGGGGUGAAAUCCCGGGGCUCAACCUCGGAACUGCCUUCAUAACUCCCGGUCUUGAGUUCGAGAGAGGUGAGUGGAAUUCCGGGUGUAGAGGUGAAAUUCGUAGAUAUUCGGAGGAACACCAGUGGCGAAGGCGGCUCACUGGCUCGAUACUGACGCUGAGGUGCGAAAGCGUGGGGAGCAAACAGGAUUAGAAACCCGGGUAGUCC